UGGGGAAUAUUGGACAAUGGGCGCAAGCCUGAUCCAGCCAUGCCGCGUGAGUGAUGAAGGCCUUAGGGUUGUAAAGCUCUUUCGCCGACGAAGAUAAUGACGGUAGUCGGAGAAGAAGCCCCGGCUAACUUCGUGCCAGCAGCCGCGGUAAUACGAAGGGGGCUAGCGUUGUUCGGAAUCACUGGGCGUAAAGCGCACGUAGGCGGAUUGUUAAGUCAGGGGUGAAAGCCUGGAGCUCAACUCCAGAACUGCCCUUGAUACUGGCAAUCUCGAGUCCGGAAGAGGUAAGUGGAACUGCGAGUGUAGAGGUGAAAUUCGUAGAUAUUCGCAAGAACACCAGUGGCGAAGGCGGCUUACUGGUCCGGUACUGACGCUGAGGUGCGAAAGCGUGGGGAGCAAAACAGGAUUAGAUACCCUGGUAGUCCACGCCGUAAACGAUGGAGGCUAGCCGUUGGCGAGCAUGCUCGUCAGUGGCGCAGCUAACGCAUUAAGCCUCCCGCCUGGGGAGUACGGUCGCAAGAUUAAAAACUC
rnacentral:rRNA from 1 species